rnacentral:lncRNA from 1 species
AUGUUACAAUUUAGCUGUCUUUGUUAUUGCCAACAGGGAGAUCAUGGGGUGAGAGGAAGUUCUGGGAUGCGUGGUCAAACUGGGAGGAUUGGCAUGAAUGGUUUAAAUGGGAAGAAAGGAGUACUUGGGACAAGAGGAAAAAUGGGUAAGGUGGGCCGCAGAGGUCUCAUUGGCCCUCUAGGAGCUAAGGGUCGGCCAGGAUCUGUGGGGCCACCUGGAGAGAAAGGAACCAAAGGGAAACAAGGACCAAGGGUGAGAGCUCAUGUUAGAGGCCAUUUAAUAAUGUGUCCAAUUUUCAUAGAGAUUAGAGGCG